ensembl:lncRNA
CCGUUCCAGAGAUGACCAUACAGAAGGAUGGGAUGGUCCUGAAGCUGUGUGAAAUGGAACCCCGUUCCAGAGAUGACCAUACAGAAGGAUGGGAUGGUCCUGAAGCUGUGUGAAAUGGAACCCCGUUCCAGAGAUGACCAUACAGAAGGAUGGGAUGGUCCUGAAGCUGUGUGAAAUGGAACCCCGUUCCAGAGAUGACCAUACAGAAGGAUUGAUGGUCCUGAAGCUGUCUGAAAUGGAACCCCGUUCCCUAUAUAGUGCACUACUUUAGACCAGGGCAAAUGGAACCCCGUUUCCUAUAUAGUGCACUACUUUAGACCAGGGCAAAUGGAACCCUGUUCCCUAUAUAGUGCACUACUUUAAACCAGACCCAUUAUGUGCUCUGGUCCAAAGUAGUGCACUACAUACUAAAUAGGGUGCCAGAUAGUGUUAAAGGUGUUGUCCACUGACAUCAUCUCCUCCAAAACGUGCCACUCUUGGGGGGGGGGCGGAGUUAUUGUAAAUAAUGUGUCCAAUCGGUACAUCUGACCUAGUUAUCCUGGCCAAUCACUGUGCAUGGAACCAGCCACUGGAAUAGUCAGCCCUGCCCACAAAUAUGCUCCUGGCUUUGUGUACACAAGAAUGAUUCUUUUUUAUUUUUGUUUUCCCCAAAUAUCAGGGGAACAAUACCUUUGGCAUUUAACAAAACCUAGAAGACUGCUCAGUCCGGUAUUCUACACUACACUCUUUCAACGAUUAAAAAAAUAAUAAUUUAGAUCUUCAAUCGUGUAACGGACAGUGAUUCAUUCCUUUAUCAAGUAACAGAACAUUAAGUGCAUCAUCGGUGCAGGUGCCAAUAGGGAAUCAAACCAGUAGUGGAGUAUGGAGGAAAUAGAGAGCCAGACAACAACACCUUCAUCUACAACAUGUAGAGUCAUAUCUGUUUCCAGUCACAUGGCAGCAGUUACGGUGUGAUCCGUUACGGUGUGAUCCUUACGGGUGUGAUCAGGACGGGUGUGAUCAGGACGGGAAUAGAGUGCAUCCCAAACGGCUAGAGGUCCUGGUCAAAUGUAGUGUAUUAUAUAGGGAAUAGGGUGCAUCCCAAACGGCCAGAGGUCCUGGUCAAAUGUAGUGUAUUAUAUAGGGAAUAGGGUGCAUCCCAAACGGCCAGAGGUCCUGGUCAAAUGUAGUGUAUUAUAUAGGGAAUAGGGUGCAUCCCAAACGGCCAGAGGUCCUGGUCAAAUGUAG